UUGACAGAACUCUCCGAAAAAAUUAUAAUAUGGAUGCACUUAUUUUUACUCUUCUUGAUCAGCUGCCUUUGGUCCAAAGAGAGUUAUUUGUGACGAUUAUGUGGAGUAUGUGGAAGCGUAGGAAUUUGAAAUUGUGGCAGCAGCAAAAUGAAACGAUCAUGCAUGUAUUGGAGCGUGCAAAGCAUACCCUGGAUGAUUGGCGAUCAGCCCAACAAAUAUGGUUGCAAAGAGAAGAUGUACCUUUGACGCACCAAGGCAAUUCUAGCGAUAGUAUGGUGGUGGAAUGGUCGAAGCCGGCUUAUGGUAGGUAUAAAUGUAACAUUGAUUCCUCCUUUUCUUCUUCCAUGAAUAUGUGAGUAUCAGGAUUUGUCUUCGUGAUGACAGGAGCGAAUUUGUUAGUGCUAAAACAUAUUGUUUUUCCCCUCUUUGUAAUGUUGUUGUGGGUGAGGCCGUAGGCUUUCAUACGGCGUUGAAAUGGAUGGCGGAACUUCACUAUGAUAAUGUCGACUUUGCUUUAGAUUCUAACAUAGUGGUUGAUCAUUUUCGGUCUUCUUUAGAGAAUGACAAUGAGUUUGGAUGUAUUAUGCAUGCUUGUAAACAAUUGUUUCAGAUUAGUUUUCAGAACUCUUAUGUCGAGUUCAAUAGGAGGCAAACCAAUGGGAUCACUCAUGCAUUAACUAAGGUAGCCCCAUCUCAUGCUAGCUUCCAUGAUUAUGAUAAUGUACCGUCAUGUAUUUCUUUUUUGAUUGAUAAUAAGAAGCAAUGAAUUUCUCCUUUAAAAAAAACAUUAAGUAAGUUUGUAUGAUAAAUUCAAAACUCAAAAUCACACUUACAAGUUAACUUCAAGUUACACAUAAAUAUUAGACAAUCGAGCAAUACACCACUAAGCUUUUUUUUUUUUAUAGCAAAACCAAUUAUUGUAAAGGAGACAAUUUUAUGAAAAAAAUACUCAAAUAUUUUAAAGAGUGUGUUCGAAAAUUAGUAUCUCCACGGACAUCACUUUGGUGAUAUUGAGGUGCCAAUGUCAUGGCCAACCACAAUGUCACAAGUGUGCAAAAUGACAAAAAAUGCUUGUUAGUGAGUAAGAAGAAAGUCAUAAUUUUUUAUCAUUUUGUACACUUAUGAUAUUGUGAUUGAUCAAUAUCACCAAAGUGUUAUCCGCAUCUCCACACUCCCACCAUGAGUUAAAGUGUGUUUUUAUUUUAUUUUAAUUAUUUAUUGAAACGUCAUGCGCUAUAGUAAAAAUAUGCCAAUGCCAUAGAAAGAUGGGUAAAUGUGUGGUGGGAUCUAGUCUAUGCAGCUCCAAAUUAGGGCCAAAUAUAUGAAAUCAAUGUUACCUGUCUUUAUAAGCACUUUUAACUCAUAAAAAAACUUCUUUCUUUUAAAAAAAAGACACUCAUACAAAAACUAAAUUUAAACGUACCAAUAACAUGUGGGUAAGAUUUCUUAAAAAAAAUAAAAAUAAAUAACAUGCGGGUAAGAUGUAAGAUGGUUUGAAUCUUUCAAGUAAGAGGUUGAAUAAUGCUAAUGCUAGAGUAACAUUUUCAAUACACUCUAUUGUUGAGUUAUAAUUCAGUCGAGGGUGCCGUUUUCGAUAGGAGAUUUAAAUAGUCUCCUAUGGUGGAUGACUUUAUAAAAAACUAAUUAUUUUUUUUUUUUUAUUUUACAAUAAAGAUAACAUGUGUAAACAUUAGAUGGUUGAAGAACACUGAACUUACUGUAUUCCCUUAACAUUGAAUUUUCUUCCCACUUUCUUCAACCUCAGCCAAAACAACCAUAGGAAAAAAACAUUUUCUUCCUCUUUCCGUUCUCUCAUCUCUUCCGCCGCCGCCGACAUCCUCCUUCCCCACCACCGUAUUCUCCAUCAUCGUCAAAUUAUAUACUUCAUAUUCUUCCUAAUUACUUUUAUCCAAAUUUAUCUUCAUGUGUUCUUCCCAAAUCCAAUCUUCUUUCAUCUUCACCAAUUUGUUCUUAAAAAUCCAGAUCUAAAAUCAAUAACCAAUCUUUCCUUAAGGAAUUUAAAACCUGUUAACGAUGCAACUUUAAUUAAUAAGAAAGAAGACCCACCAAUAUGAUGAAACUGGCACAGCAGGAUAGGAUUGGACUUUUAUCAAUGAAAUUGAACUAGCGCCACACAACAUUAACAAAGGCUCACGACACCAACAACAUGAAGGAAGCAAACCCACUACACAAAUAAAAUUUAUACAUCCUUAAGACAUGUCGUUGCUUUCCACCCAUUACACAAACACCAAACCCCAUCAUUCUCUUAAUCAAGAAGACAACCUACCCACUGAACUCUCUCAACAAAGCCUCAAUAUUGUUUUGUUUAAUUGAAUUAUAUUUUAAUGAUUUUCUUGUUCAAUUGAUGUUUGUGGUAUUCCUGUUCAUAAAAAAUAAUUGAUGUUUUUAACAACAACAGCAAUUAAAAUAUGAGAGGGAUUGACCAAAGAGUGGAAGUGUACGGUGUUAAAAGAAGGAUGAUGGGGUGGUGGUGAGCGAGUAGGGAAUAAGCAGAGACAUGGAGAGGGUUAGAGAAGGAUAUAUGAUGGAAUAGUGUAAAAAGUAUCUAGUGUUGAGAGAGUAUAAUAAUAUCAUGGUCAUCAAAAGUUUUCAAAUAUAUCCAAUGAUUAACAUCUAUUUUACAAAAACAAAAUAAAAAAAGUCAAGUCUCCUACGGUAGGAGACCUAAAGAGAUCGCCUACCGUAGCCUUUGCCUUCAGUCGAAUAUAAAUGUAUGUUAUAAAGGACAUACGUGAUUAUGUAACGUGAAUAUGUUACUAACACUCUUUCAAAAGUUUUAAAACUUAUCUUCUUUAGAUUACUACUAACUAACACUGAGAAUAACAGUCGCCCAAUAUUAUAAUUAUAUAUUCCAUGUGAGAUUAGUCACUUGCUCAGAAUGUAGAUUAUCAAAUAUCAUAUUCUCAUAAUUAUAUUUAAAACUUAUCUUCUUUCUUAGUGCAUUUAUAAUGAUGGAUAUUUUAGUUAUUUAACACAAAUUAAAGCUAAAUUGGGAAUUUCUAUGAAACACGGAUAUGUACAUAGAUAUUGGAAACGAUACAGAUAUCGACACACCGACGCCUUUAAUAAUAUGAGAAAAUCAUAUAAUUUAGUAUAAUUUAUAAGUAUCAGUGUCGGACGCGACUCAUGUUCGACACCGGAACACGCCUUAUUCAAGGAGUGUCUUUGCUUCAUAGGACAUGAAUAUCUAUAGAAAAAUCCUCUUUUUCUUCUGUAUUUGUGGCUUCCACGUAACAAAUUUUAUUAAAAUAAACUACCAAUACACUUUUUUUUAAUAAAAUUUAUUACGUGAAAUACAAUGAUACAAAAUUAUUGAUAAAACCUAUUUAACAUUUUUUUUUUUGAAUGAUAUAUACACGAGACAUUCUUAAACAUCCAGACACAGGGGAGGGGAGCUUUUAUUAUAGAUGCUACGUAGUUUAUCACUCAGAGUUGUUCUCUUUUGUUUUUUGUAAAUAGUUGUUGUUACUAUUAUUUACCCAACCAAUAGCCUUAGGUGGCAUAAAUAUGUAUUCAUCAUAGACGUGACAAUUUUUAAUGCAAGACAGUCAAAACAGUAAACAAUUAAUAACAAUAAUCAGAGCGAAAAUAAAAAUAAAAAUUAUACUAAAAAAUCCAGGUUGAUAAAACAAUUGCUCCCUCAAGUACUUUCAAUUUCAACAAUACUAACCAAUAAAAAAAAAGUACUUUCAACAAUACAGUAUAAAAUAUAAAUUAUUGUUGCAAAAUAUUCAUGGCAAGUCAGGACGAAUAAAUUACGAGAUAAAUUAUAGACAGGAAAGUACUACGAAUAUCAUUCAGUCAUGAAUUUAGGGGACACUUUUUUUAUAUGACAUCACAAUUAAAUAAGGACAUUCCAUAAAAAAAACAAAAACUACGACCAUAUACAUCUUAAACUUUGGAUCGACUCCUAUAAAGUGACUAUUUAUUAGAAAUAACGAGUCAAACAUGAUUUAUGAUUUACACUUUCCUAAAAAAAAAGAAUAAAAAUAAUUGAUUUGCUUGUAAACAAAUGAUAUUUCUCGCUUAAUUUUGUGGAGUGAAUUGCUUACAUCCACUUUUACAUUCAACAUGAGACAUACAUUUGAUCUAUCAUCAAACUUUUUCUUAAGUAUAGGUCUAUCUAUCCAUUCAGUUAGGACCGUUUCCCCUUAAAUGGAAGUUUCUUUUUUUUUAAAUUUUUUUAUCCACAUACAUUUUUACCAUCGUUGACUCAUGAUAUCAACUAAGAUAUGCCGCUUGGUCACCAUUGCCGAAAGACAUUCGAUACAAGUAGUCGCUCAACUUUAGUUAAAUAAUUGACUCUAAUACCACUAUUCGAGCUAAUAGCAACUGACAAUGGGAUUGAACGCCACAUUAACAUGUCAUUAGCUAGUAUAAAUCACACUUGGCAUACCAUUAGAUAGUAUAAAUAAACAUCUUAAAUUCCUAAUGUAAAACUCCUACUCAAGAUAAAAAAGAAUGGUUACAUAUCUCAGUAAAUAUAGUUCAAUUAAUAAAGACAUCGCAUUAUAUAUGCAGGAAUGGAGUUCAAACCAUAAAUUCCUCACUUAUUAACCUUAAAGGUAAAUUUCUAUCCAGUAUACUAUUAAAAAUAAAAUAAAAUUAUAACACUCAUUUCCCACAUACCAAAUUAUCACCUACAAAUGUAUCAACUCUCCACUUGAUCAUCCAGUAACGAGGAUACUUCACCUCUUCAUAAAUCUAUAUAUUUAUAAGUGAUUUCCAUCCAUGAAUAUGAGAGAAGUGAACAUUAAUAAUCCUAUCUCUCUCUCUUUAUCAAUGUGGGAUUCUCAAGUGUCAAAAUACAUUCGUUCACCUAAGGGUGGCUCUUAGCAUGGGCGAGAGGGACGACCGUCAAAAGCACCAUAUUUUUAAGGGCAUUAAAAUUAAUAUUUUUACUUAGUGGUUAGUAUUAUAUAAAUAUGUUUUUUUUUUUAAAUUGCUUUAGUUGAUAUUAUUGAAAAUAUGUUUUUAGAGAACAUGAUUAUAAAUGAAUAUUUUACAAAAAGAAAAAACAAGAAGAAAGACAUUUAUAUAAUUAAAAGGACAAAGCUUUAUUGAUUCACCAAAGACAACAAAAAUCUUAAGAUUGACCCUGCUUUCACCUCUUAAAUUUUCACUCAUCUGCAUUUCCUUGGAAAUUUGAACUAUUUCCCAACAAGAUGUAAUUUUGUUCUCUUUUAAACAAGUAGAGAAUAUGACUCAUUCACUUAAGUGCAUAUAUUUUUUUUUGACAAACACUUAAGUGCACACUUAAAAUUAAAUAUAAUGUAUAGGAUUGGUCCAUGACCGAGUGAAACAAAAUAUAAACUCUUGUUUGGUUCUUUAAAUAAAAAUAAAAAUAAACAUACUCUUGUUUUGUCAAUUUUUUUUUAGUCAAAUAAUACGGAUUCAAAAAGAUAAAAUGGAUAAGCCCCAAACCCAAAUACAAAAUGGUUGUUUCCCCUAUUUGCUAUUUAUCUUGGAAAAAAAUUGUUAGGUUAUCUCUUAAAGCUUUUAAAAACAUAAAAAAAAUGUCCUUCGAAAUUUAUCUCUUGAACGGUCUCCGCAUUUAUGGGAGACAAAAGAACAACCAUCAAAUACAAAACACUUCCAGGAGUUAUUUACUGGAAGAACAAAAUCGAAUUUUUAAAAAUAAACCUCCGGUAGUUAACUACCGGAAGUGUUAUCAAGGACAAUUUUGUAAUUUUGAAGGGCCUAAAGAGAUAUGGAGGGGGCCUAAAAAGAAACCUCCCAAAAGGCUGAGCAAGGAGAAACAACAAGGCCCAAAGAUAAUUUAGCUAACUGCAUCCACUGUUAUAGUGGUAAUGCUGUAUACGAAAAUAUGUUUAGAUACACCCCCUUUGUUUGUUGUGGAUUAGUAGAUGUUGGUGGACUUUUUUGCAAAAAGAAACGAUAUUUAUUCAUUUAAAUUGAUCGUGUACAUUGAUGUAAAACAAAUUCAAAGCGCUAAAAACAUAAACGAUAUUUAUUCAUUCAAAUUGAUCGUGUACAUUGAUGCAAAACAAAUUCAAAGUCGCUAAAACAAAAAGAAUGAAUCUGCGAACAAAUUCACAACAUCUAUAUUAACAACAUAUAAUAUGAUAGAGGACGUAUGCCUACACAUAUGACUAUAUUUAAGUCUUUGGAAUACUCAUGUCUCGGAUCUUCAAGUUGACGAUGCAAAAGUCAUUGAUUGGAUCUACACUUGAUAAAAACUACUAUUUCAACUUGAAUCAAAUAAACAACGCACAAAAACGGAAAAUCAAAACAAACAAAAUCACGAUAAGACGACGAAAUUACAAAACAAAUGAAAAAAAAACUAAAAAUAUGUGCUUGCUUAAAAAACCAACAUAUGUUUAAUCACACGCUAUAGCAUAAUAAGGACUCCCUCCGUUUUGAAAUAUAAACAAAUUUUACUUUUUAGAUUCAUUCAAUUAAUAAUGUAUGUGGUCCAUAUUAUGAACGACAUACAUCAUUAAUUGAAUGAACUUAAAAAGUAAAAUUUACUUAUAUUUUGAAACAGAGGGAGUAACUAUCAAUCGAAACUUGUCCCCAGCGUCUUUAAUCUAGCAAGUUAAUUCAUAUCAAGUUCUUUAUUUUAGUAUAACAUCAAAAUCUAAAAGUACUUUUUAUUGCAAUUUUUCAGUCUUAUUACUCUAUUAUACAAUAUAUUGCCCCAUCAGACAUUUAACACUAUUAUACAUCUUAUGAAGUAACUUUUUAGAGUGAGAUUCAAGUCUAUUUAACACUUAACAAGAAAAUUAACCACAAAAUGUUAGAAUAGCAGUAUCAUACAUAAGUUAUAACCACAGAAUAUGGUAGAAGAUAUUGAUAAAAUGAAGAUAAAUAUCAGGCAGAAUCAUCAUUUAUAUUUGCAGAUAUUUUGCCUAGUCGUUGUCCAAUAAAUAUCUAAAGGAAUCCCUGCAAAAAUCUUGUUCUAGUUAACUAGUUAAAGUGAAAAACUGUGAACAAAAAACUUCAGAAAAACAUCAUAAUUUUACAGUACUUUUUUUGAGCGUUACUGUUAAUUUCCACCUUGUCUUUCAAUUAGGCUUUUUAAUUAAUAGUUUAAAUUCAAUAACUAGUUCUCCUUGAACCACUAAAAUUUUCAGCCACACAUGUAAAAGAUCCCUUAUUAUCUUCAACAUUGUCACAAUAGUAAUUAUGCAUUGCUACUUUAAUUGGAAAAUUGUAAGUAAAGCCUCUUUCUUCUACUUGCAUAGUAAAUGACAAAACCUAACUCAAUCGACAAUAAAUUUGUUAUAUAUGCUAGCUAUAUACUUUUGUACCCUUAAUGCAACGAGGUGUUCUAUACCAAAUGAUGCUGAUAAGAAAUCUUAGCAUGAAGGACUGUUCUCUUGUCCACAAAUAUACAUAUGGUUCUUGUUGACACAACAAUAAAUCUUCUAGCUGUCAUUAAAAUGUCUGUUCAUGACCCUCUUCUUCUGCCCAUGUGAUGUUGGACCACAUCUAAUUACUUCCCUUUUUCCUUUUUGUUUUCAUUCUGUUAUUGUUUUGUUUCACCAUGAAAAACAUUACCUGGUUCUCUAAAAUUAAGGAAAAUAAUUGCUUUGUCUGUAAACUGUUUUUCUUAAUUAACUUCUUGACAUGACGUAUUUGUGGGUUGUUAUAUUCAAAAUGAUGUAGAUUGAUGACAUAUAUAUAUUUUAAGGAAAAUGCUAACAUGUGUCUCUGAAGGACUAGUUAAGGAAAUAAGUAUAAUAGGAAUUUCUUGGAACUUAUGUAAUCAAGUAUUUAAAAGUGGAGAAAAUACUGACUUCAAUACUCCCUCCGUCGCAAUUUAACUGAGUUCUUUGCUUAUUUCACACUUAUUAAAAAAAAUAUAUUAAUGAAGGAAAGAGAAAAAUGGUUUUAAGCGCUCUUGUCAAGUAUUGGUGCAUUUAUCAUUAUCAUAAAUGCAAACUAGAAUAUAUUGAAUUGGGAGUGAUGAAAGUAGUAUUAAUUAGAGUUAUAAUUGGAAAAAGGAAUUAAUAUUGCAUUAAAAAGUGAAUAUGUCAGUUAUUUUAGGACAAUAUUUUGACAAAAGGAUCAGUUAUUAUGAGACGGAGGGAGUAUAAAACUUACACCCUCUGGUCACUAUUAUAAAAACUUUAAAUUUUAGAUUCAUUCAUUAAAUAAUGUAUGUGGUCUAUAAUAAAGACCAUAUGCAUCAUUAAUUGAAUGAAUCUAAAAUGUAAAAUUUUACUUAUAAUAGUGACCGGAGGAUAUAUCUUUUUUGUUUCCUUAACUGGUGUCCCGGAACACCGAUAAACAUGACUAAUUUUUCAACUUCAAUAUAUGUUAUUAGCUAGGAUUAUAGUUAUGGUUAUUAGGAUUAUAGUUAGAACUCAUGAUUUUAAUAACAACCGUUCAACCAUUGAUUAUGUUGAAAUUUAAGUGUGAGUUAGUCUCACCUCGAACUAAGAAUAACUUCAUUAAAUGAUACAUAAGAGAUGUAAAGUAAAUACUAAAUACUUUAAGAUUUUGGGUGGAAAUAUAACGUGCAUAACUCAUAGAGUCCGUUCACUUUUCAUAUUACUUGUUUUCAUUUUCAUUUUUCAACUAAUAAAAAAUAAGAGAAUAUAGAUCCAACAUUUAGUAUUUUGAGAAAUUUUCAAAAUGCAUUCCUGCUAGUUUUCCUAUCUUCUCUUAAUCACAAUUGUUUAUUACAUAAGUCUUCUAUCUCUCUCCUUGCAAACAAUUUAAAAUAAAAUAAACAUAAAUUUUAGAAAAUGAAAACAAAUAUGUCUUUCGAAAGUAAAACGCUUUAGUAGGAAUCCUCAUCUUUAGUUUGUUGUUGCUCCUGAUGCUUCUCCAGGUUCUUGAUUUGAUUUGAUGGGAGAGCGGGAGUGAACUCGGGUGUGAUUGAUUAAAUAUAGUGAUGUAGCUGAUUCACACUUGAGGAAGAGUUUGUUGGAAUUCAAGUGUGAGUAAUUAGUUCCACUUCAACUAAACAUGUAAAAGAGACGACUCAUAAUACUCUAACUGCCUUGAGAGUUUUUGAUAAAAGUGUAGUGUUAAUCUUUAGCCUAGUGUUCCUUCUCCAAACUCCUCAACAAAUUAUGACUUCAACUUAAAAUCUUAAUCUAGCUUUUUUUAGGGGAAAAUCUUAAUCAAAGUUAACAUUGAUUGGUUAACACUUUGUCCAACCUUAAAUAUAUUUUCUAUCCUAUUGACCUUUUCAGUUUCAAGACCCAAAAUGGCAAUAGCAAACAAGUUUUUCCUUUUACUGAUCAAAUGAUUUAUUAAUUAUGAAAGAAAAGGGAGGGGUAGGGGACCUUUGUCAGCUGGAAUGUCCCAUAUUUUAUAGCAUUUGUCAUUUAGUGCUGCAUUGGAAUAUGCUUACCCUCCAACUUGCAACAAAAUUUCUUAUAUAUAACGCCAUUCUAUAGCAAGAAAUCUUCAAUCCCACAUUCACAUUCAAACCAAAUUCAUCAUCAAACAAACCCAAACAUGAUUCAAAUCAUUUUCCUCCUUUCACUUUUCCUAUCCAUUUCCAAUGCUUCUGUUCAAGAUUUCUGUGUAGCAGAUAUCAAAGGCUCAGACACUCCUUCAGGCUACCCUUGCAAGCCAGCUUCAACAGUAACCUCAGAUGACUUUGCAUUUGAAGGCUUAAUUGCACCUGGAAACAUAACAAACAUUAUCAACGCCGCCGUUACACCUGCAUUUGUUGCUCAAUUUCCAGCUGUUAAUGGUCUUGGUCUCUCUGCAGCAAGGUUAGACCUUGGUCCUGCUGGUGUUAUCCCACUUCACACUCACCCUGGUGCCAGUGAACUUCUUGUUGUGACACAAGGUCACAUCACUGCUGGAUUUGUUUCAUCAGCUAACACUGUUUAUAUCAAGACAUUGAAGAAAGGUGAGCUUAUGGUUUUUCCACAAGGUUUGUUGCAUUUUCAAGCUACUGCUGGUAAGAGAAAUGCUGUUGCUUUUGCUGUUUUUAGUAGUGCUAGUCCUGGACUUCAGAUUCUUGAUUUUGCACUUUUUGCAAGUAACUUCUCUACUCCUUUGAUCACUAAGACCACUUUCCUUGAUCCUGUUCUUGUCAAGAAGCUUAAGAGUAUUCUUGGUGGCAGUGGUUAAGUAACUAUAUAUGUGUUCCGACCUCAAGUCACAUUUCCGAGGUAUCUUCUGGUUUGAGGUACUGUGUAAGUCCGCACGGUUUUGCUCUUUGUAAAAGGCAUCUGAGUGGACUAAGAAGUGUAGAUGUUUUUAUAAACUACCAUUGACCUUGAUUCUGAAGUAAUGUGGAAUUUUUUGGUGUACCGGAACAGUAUGCUUAUAUUUUAUGUUCAUUGAUAGUUGUUAUUUGAUUCAACCAAUUUUCUUAUUUUUUUUUUUUCUUUCUUUUUUUGAGUUCAUUAGUUCCUUGUAUGUAAUUGAAUUCCUUGUAUCAAUGUGAAGUAAUAAAUUUGUGAGUAUGGUUUUAUUUUUUCCAUUUGUCUGUUCCACAACUAUAUGUUGAGAUUAAUUUGUGUAGCUAUAUAUUUUGAAGGACAAUUUGAUCCAAUUUCCCAUGUUGAUAUAUAACCUGCAUGUCACUGUUAUGUUGAGAUAAAGUUUUAUCUUAUUGAUUUCUCUUUUCUAAAGAUGAUAGUUGUCCUAAUUCAAUUUGGCCCCACUCCAACAAUGGGUGCAACAUGUUGUAUAUAAAUUAACAGCUAAUAUUUAUAUAAAAUGACAAAUAUAUAUAUAUAUAUAUAUAUAUAUAUAUAUAUUUUAUGAAAUUUUCAUGAGUGUUAAAAUUUGAACUUAAUUUACCAAUAUGAUUGGGAGAGUUGGUAAAUUCAAUCUCCCCCUAUUUUUUUUUUUUAUUCCCUAAGUCGCUUAUUUGAGAAGCAAUCAGAUAAAUAUAAAAACAAAUGUUCUACCGUUAACUUGAUGAUUGGUUUUAUAGCGAACAUUUCAAAGUAAAAAAACUUUACUUUGAAUAGUAAAGUAAAGUAAACUAUUCAAAAUAUACACCAAUUUUUGAAUAGUUUGUUUACUUUAAUUUUCUUGAUUUAAAAACAUGAUGAUCACUUGCAUUAUCAUUGUUUUUGAGAAUUAGCAAUUCAUUUGACCACUGCCAUAAAUUGGAAUACGACUGAUAAAUGCGUGACAUGCAAAUUGUAAUUUGAUCCAAAACUAGGCCACACACUUUCUUAACUGACAGCACAAUUAUUUAACUGAUAUGCAUGCACCAAUUUGCAAAUGAUAUAACGUAAUUUAUAAGAACUAAAAUUGUGUGUAGGACGCCAAACGGUCGCAGAAACUAAAAUGCUGGAGCAAAAUAUCUAGAACAGAGCACCCAUUUGAUAUUUGAUGGUACAAACAAAGAAUCCUCUAUCUUAGUUGAUGUUAGCACAAUAACAAUACAUGCCGUCUGUAAGUGCAACUUCAAUUUAUUUUUAUGUUAAAGACCAAACUGUCUUGGAUUUUUCUGUUUGAAAUUAAAAUGAAACUUAGCUCCUAGAGAAAUGUUAACCGGUGCCUCCGGGACACUGGUUAAGGCAUUUAAAUGGUCCUGAUUCUACAAAAGUCCUUGAGUAAAAUCCUUUAAUUUUGAUUGCGAUUUUACGAGUCCCGAUUUUGCUACUUCCUUUCGACUGGAAGUCUCGAUUUUGAUAACCUUAUUUUGUAAUCCUUAAAGAGUGCCCUGGGGGCACUCGUUAACAAGACCCUAGCUCAUAUUAUGACCCAUACAAACCAAUGGUUUAGACCACCAUGAAUGAAAGUCAACAAAAUCAAUAAUAUGUGCGUCUUUAGCCACCACCAAGAGUGAAGAUUAACACAAUCCAGAAGCCGCUUCAACAUUAAUUCUUUAUUGUGAAAAAUACAGUCAUUGCGCUCCUUUCAAAUAAUUCAGAUAAAAGCCAACCAAAAUACCUAAAAACAACACUAAAUAUCUUUCCUAAACCCACGAGAACCACCAAAUUGUAGAGCAUGCUUGUCAACAUUAGAGUGAUUUACCGUAGAAAUUCGCAGCCACUUUAGGAAAGGGUGCCAAAUGCCUUUGAAGAAAUCACAAUCAAGGACAAGAUGAAUAAUUGUUUCUCCUUCUCGCACCCUCAUGAACAUAGUAAAUAUUCGGCAUGCAGCACACCAAGAUGAUAUAUCCUUCAUCGAGUAACCAUCAAGAUGAUUAUGAGUCCAAACCCAUUUAUCCAAAACUUCAUCUAGCAAGAAAAUGUCAUCUAAAAGAGAAAGACAAUGACAACUGUUCUUCCACUCACGUAAGGAAUUGCCUUCUCGACCGCCACGCUUGUCCAUCAACCCCUCAUCCUUGCCUCCUCAUCUCCGUAACACUAACACACCUAUCAAUACAUAAAUAAAAUAGACGCAUAAAUCUAGACCUCAAACACGCUCCAUGCAAUCAAGGAUCACACCUAAAAGGUGUACUUUCUCCAUCAUCAAUUCUGCGACUCACCCCUUCCUUAGACCAACUCGCUUCCCCUCCCUCCACCCCCUCUCUAAUGACACACAUAUCCUAAUAUGAUUUUCCUCAUCCCCACUAAUUGGAAGACCCAAAUAAACAAAAGAAAAUUGCCUAAUUUUACAAUUCAAAACACAGUCACUUUAACCAACUAAGAUUCCUCUACACUGACACACCAACAAGUAAGCUCUUGUGAAAAAUCACUUUGAGAUCGGAUAUAAGUUAAAAAAGCAUUAAAGUAGCCUUCAAAAUUCUAAUUUUUCCCAAUUGUGUUGUAACAAUUUGCACACAGUGUUAUUAUCUAGUUGUCUAACGUUAGACAACAACCAUGAUUUUUCUCUUAAAGUUUUAACGUUAUAGUCUUAUCUGUUGUUUUUAUGUUCUUUUAUUUUUCUCCAUGUAUAUUUUUCCCAACAAAUCUAAAGUAAUAAAAGAUGAGUAAUGCUCCUUAAACACCCUUUUAAUAAAAGAUAAAGGGUAUGUUAAUCCAGGGCCGUUCCUAGCGUUUUACGGGCCUUAUGCAUAAUAUAAAAAUAGGGCCCUUACAUAAUACAUUAUAAUUUUUUUUAGGUCAUUGUUGUGUUUUUUUAUUUCACUUUUCACUACCAAAUAAAUGUUUUUUUAGAUAACAUCUGAAAAUAAAUUAAAUACUAUAUAUACACCAAAACAAAAUGAAAUAUCGUACAAGUAGAGAAAAAUAGCACAUCCGAAGCAGACUGAAAUUUUAGCACCCCAUUAUCAAAUAAAAUAGAAUUUACUUUGUAAUGAAAAUUAUCUCAAUUUCUUGGAUAAUAAAUAUCGUCGAUAUUUUUAAUAUUAGCGAAGCACAUUAUUAAGAACAAAGGGCCCAAUAAAAUAUCACUAAUUUCUUCGAUAAUAAAUUUUCAAACAUAUUAUUAAGAACAACCAAUUUUUUUUAUAGGAGGGUGUAUAUAGAAAUUUUUGUGCUGCAUGGGAUAUAUAUAGCAAAUCUCACUAAUAGGGCAAAAAACAUUAAUAGAUUUCAGUCCAUUUCUAUAACAUGUCAAAGAUUGGACCUUUUUAGAGAAGUUUACUAUAUAUACCCCCUAAAAUCCAAAUAUUUCUAUAAACACCCUCACCUUAAUUUUUUUUUGAACCCCCUACCAGCAAGGGCCCUAGACCGUCGCACUCGUGGCCUAUGCCCUAGGGCCGGCCCUGUGUCAAUCUGUUGUACCAAAAAUAAAAGGAUAUCAACCUGUAAUUGACGUCAAAUCGAAAGUAAUGCCUUCGUAGCCAUCCCACUAGCUUUAAGAUCUAAACUAAACUUAAAAUUUAGAAAAAGUUGAAAAUAUUAGAAAGUCUUAAUGGUCACCCUUGGGCCUUGGUAUACAUGUGCGUUAGUGUGACAAUAUUAAAGGCUGUACUUAGGACUAAAUCAAUAUUUUAGUUUUAAAAAAAAUGAAAGUUUGACAAUUUAGUUACUUAAAUUUACCAAAAACUAGCUCCAUUGUUAAGUAGUAUAUGACUCUAUUUAUUAAAUCAAGGGAAUUAAGAAAAAAAAAAAUUCCUCAAAAGAAAAAAAUAUUAAAAUUAAUUUGUUAAUAAUUGAUAUAGUUUUACAAGUUGAUCUUUCAGAAGAUAUAAUUAGUUUAUAUAUUCGUCAUGAUAUUAAUUUCAAGUUGCAGUAAAAGAUGUCAUAUGAAAACUCUUAAGAGUUUAAUCUAAUGGUAAAAUGACAAGCUUUGUAUUGAGAUGUUUUUGGUUUGAACAACCUUAGUAUUUUUAAAGGGAUGUAAAUCUAAAUCUUUUUUAGUAUUCUUCACGACUUAAGAUUUUCCUUACCUUGACCUUGAUGCCACACCCCCUCACCCUAAAUUUAUUAUAUUAAUUGAAAAUUGCUUGUUCAAAAAAAAAUAUUAAUUGAAAAUUGUCAAAUAACCAAGGGUAUGAUAAUCCUCUCCUAAAAUAUAAGAAAACUUAGGGGUGUACAAUAAUAAAGAAAUAAUUAGUGCAGUCAAAUUUUGAAUGUCUUAUAAAAAUGGAUAAAGAUUUUUUUUUUAACCCUUCUUAUAUUUAGAGACGGUGAUAAUAAUUAAACAUGUGUAUGUUUGAUAAGGUCAAACCACUAAUUUAUAGUGAGUGACUUAUAUCGUAUAAUCUCAUAUAACUUUUUAAUAGUUAUUCUCUCACGAACUUAUGUCAUUUUUUGAUAUGCUAUCUAUGUAAUAUUUGAGUUUAUAGUUUAUUGUAGUUUACUAGAUUAUAAGCAAAAGAGUGUCUAAAUUUGUUUGACUCAAAUAAAUGUUUUUUAUGCACAUUUAACGUUAGUAAUCCAAAAACUAUCUUUUUGCUUAUAUUUGAGUCGAACAAAUUAUAACAUUCAUAAGCUAGGUUAUGUAAUUUUAUAUUCAUCAGAUAACCAAAUAGAUAGUUUUAUUUCUCUAAAAAAAAUAGAUAGUUUUGUCAACACUUUACAUUUAAACACCAUAAAUUCAUGAGCUAUUAUAUAUUUUAUCCACCAUAAUCCAAUUCACUUUCAUUUUGAACGAUGAGGAAUCAAAUUUUGCCCUCUCACGUGAAAAUUUCACAUGAAAUGAUGAAUUCAUGCAAUGCAAUAACCCCAGUGCUAGUUUAAGUAUUGUCCUCUAAGUUAUAGUCUCAUAAGUCAUAAGAUCUAGUUUGACUUGUCAAAUCAAUAUUUAACUCAUGUUAACGUUACGUUGAAGGUCUUUUACAUGCACAACUAGGCCUAAUGCAUGCAUUAUAAUUAAACCAAUCACCAUAUCUUUAGGCUCAAACAUUGCAAUAUUAAUUCUUAAUUAUGCAAGCAUUACUAUAUAACACCUUACCAACCCCACAUUUCUAUUCACUUACCAAUACCAACACAUUAUUAAUCCAUCUAAACUCAAAAUGAUUUUCAUUAUUUUCCUCUUAACCCUUCUCUCACAUUCCACAACCAAUGCUUCUGUACUAGACUUCUGUGUAGCAGAUUUAUCUUCUUCACAAACUCCUUCAGGCUACCCUUGCAAAAAAUCAGUAACAAUCAAUGACUUUGUUUACUCCAACUUCAAUUCAGGAAACACUUCAACAAAUUUUUUCAAAUUUUCAAUAACUCCUGCAUUUGUUAAUCAAUUUCCAGCUGUUAAUGGUCUUGGUUUAUCAGCAGCAAAAUUAGACCUAGACGUUGGAGGUAUAAUACCAAUGCAUUCACAUCGCGGCGCUUCGGAGUUAAUGAUUGUAGUACAAGGUCGUAUAACUGCUGGUUUUAUUUCUUCUGAUAAUACUGUUUUUAUCAAGACACUUUCAAAAGGUCAAAUUUUGGUUCUUCCACAAGGUUUGUUGCAUUUUCAAUAUAAUGCUGGAAGGAAUAAAGCUUCUGCUUAUCUUACUUUUAGUAGUGAAAACCCUGGUUCACAAGUUCUUGAUCUUGCUUUGUUUGGAAAUAAUUUGAGUUCUGCUAAUUUGAUAAAGAGCACUUUGCUUGAUCCUGCUCAAGUUAAAAAGCUUAAGGCUAUUUUUGGUGGGAGUGGCUAGGGUUUAAGUACUUAGUUUUCUUGUUUUAUUAUCCAAACCAAUGUUGUUUGUUGUUUUGACAAGUAGUAGUAAGGUUUGGUAAUUGUUUUGUCAUUGAAUUCCACUAAUAAAAGUUGUGUGUUUGUUUUCUUCAUUUUUCUGUUUCAGUCCCUAAUGCCAAGUUUGUAAUUAAUUUGGCCAUGGUUUGCAGAUUAACAUAUAUAUAUAUAUAUUGGAUCAAAUUAUAUUUUUCCUUUGGUUGUUAAAAGUAUGAUUCCUAUCCAAUCCCUAUGCAUUUUACUAAUUUUCUAUCCAGCCAUGGUUCUAAUAUUACCUGCAAAAUUAGUAAAUAUUAUCUUUCUGUUGUUAAAGUACGGGUAAUAAGAGUGGAUAAGUGUCCUUCGUAUAUGGCUAGCACCAAACUUAUUAGUUAUUACCCAUGAGGGUAUGUGUUCGGGUGGGAAUUUAUUUAUAAAGGUAUAGAGAUGAAAACUAUAGUAUCUACUCAAAGAAUACUUGUCGUCAUCCCUAAUUGUGCGUUAACACUCCUCAAUUCAAAAUGACAUAAUAGCAUGCUUGUUGAGGAAAAAUUAUUGCCUUUAUUAUAACAAAAUUAGUUAAUUUUUCUUUUGAGGAAAACUGAAUUAGUUAAUGAAAAUUAAGUAAACGACUAUGAAGAUAAUUUAAAUUUAUACAAAUCGUCACUUGACCAAUCUUAUUGCAAUAAAUUAAUAAAAAGUCAUUUCAAAAAGAUUUGUGGCUGAUCCUUAAAAAAUAAAAUCAUUCCGUGACAAUUUUUUUUUAAUCUUUUUUAAAUCUUUAUUCUAAACCUUCAUCUCACUUCUGUCACAUACAACUCAAACAUCCACGUGCAAUCAAUCUCAAUGAAAGAUUAGACUACAGGAUCUUUUAUUAUUACUCUUUGUGUACACGAACUGAAUUCACUUAAGUGUUGCUUAAAAUUCUAAUUUUAGAGUUUACAUGAAUUGAAAGAACAUAUGUUGACUCACUUAUUGUAACCUUACGUGAAAUAAGACAACAUAUGUGUAUGUAUUGCUUUAAAAACAUUGAAGGUAAUAUUAGAAAUGGUGGUUGGGUCUAACACAACCCUACAAAACCGGCUUGUGAGGUGAUGAUUGCCCCCACUUAUAAACAAAUUGUCAAGCCAACUCCUAACCGAUGUGUGACUCUUAACAGGUAAACUGAAUUUAAGUAGGGUAUAUAAACUGAGUUUGCAAAUUACAACUCUAAGUAAAUUAAGAUACUUGAUAUAUAUGUAAACUGAGUUCACAUAAUUUACGUAAAUCGAGUUUACGUAGGCUAUGUAAAUCGAGUUUACAUGGGCUAAUGUAAAGUGAAGUGCUUAAAACUUGAUACACCGCGUUCUUGAAAUAUUGCAUAAAUGGAGAUGAACACUUAAGGGGUUGAACGAUAGUGAAGACAAGUGUUUGAAUCUAAUGGAGAUGAAUGCUUUUGGUUUCUAGAGAUGGAGAGAACGACACAUUCUAGAUUUGCGAUUGGAUUUUGAAUACCAUUGAAAAUUUAUUACUUUUUAUGGGUAUAUUUUUCAUUUCCGGAUGUAACCAGCAUUUUAGGGGUUAUUCUAGAAAAAAUAUAAAUAUUUUAAUUAGUAAAAUUACAACCCAAUAUUUUUUAAUCUUUGAUUUUCUUAUUUAAGUUUUUUUUAGGGUGUAUUACUAUUUCAAUAUAAUUUUUGUAAUAUCUAAUGUCGUGCAAUUAAACACCACCGUUUAUAUCGUGUGUAUAUAUAUAAAUAUAUUUACCUAAUAAUCAUUACGUACCAAAUCUUGAUGAGAUUAGCAGAAGAUCAUCACGUGGACCAAGGGACUUGUAUGAAAUACAUCCUUCACGAAGAAGAGAUCGCUCGCCAGGUUGUGUGGGGUCAUCUCGAAGGACAUGAUUAUGAUAUUAUGGAUAUAUGAUAUAUAUAAAAUAUACAAAAUAUAUGGGGGUUUAUUGGUAAAAAUAAAAUAAAAUAAUACAUGGGGAUUAAUUAUUGCUAAGAAUAAAUUAUUUUGAAAUACUCCCCUAUUUAUUUUAAAUUCUCUUGACCAAAUUUUUCUUUUUUUAAAAUUCAUUGAAAUAAACCAAAAACAAAUACUCCAUUUCUAACAAAAUAUAGACAUAAAGAGGAUCAAAGCGUCAAAUAGUUUUGCUCUCAAUUUUUUUAAUUUUAGAACAUCUUUUGUUUAUGUUUUCGUUACAAAGAGUAUGCAAAAUUAGACUGACUUAUUUUAAUUCAUUUAUAUAUAAUAUAUAAUAGUAUUUGUGAUAAUGUUUGUUAGAACCUAUGAAAAUAAUUUAUAACAUCUAAGUUUAAUUCCAUAAUUUUUCAGAAUAGUUUAUAGAAACAACUUAAAAAAUAUAUUAAAUAUAAAUGUUUUUUUUUGUUUUAAAAAAGUAUAUAGAAAUAUUUAUAUCGAUAAGCUUUAUAUAUAUAUAUAUAUAUAUAUAUAUUAUGAAGUAAAAAAAUCCUUUAUAUAUUAUAAACGAUUAAUUAUUUUGUUUAUUCAAAUAUCACCUCCUAUAUUUUUUGUUGUUGUUGGAAAGACAUCCAAAAACUAAUCAUUUUUGGUGGUGGUCGGGGUUCAACCCUGUAUAUAUUAUGCAUCGUCCCUACCCUUUGAGUUAAGUUCACGAGGACCCAAAAACUAAUCAUUGAUACGCGAUAAAGAUAUAUAUAUAUAUAUAUAUAUAUAUAUAUAUAUAUAUAUAUAUAUAUUGACAAAAAUAAAUGAUAAGCAUUUAUUCAAAUUGAUAGAGUUCAUCGAUACAAUACAAAUUCGAUAAAAAUAAAAAGGAUGAAUUUGCGAACAAACUCAUAGCAUCCAUGUUAAUAUCAUAAAACAACAAAGUACAAAAACCUACUCAUGUAACUAUAUUCAAGUAUCCGGAAUACCCAUGUCUCCGGAUCUGCAACAUGGACGACGCAAAGUCAUAGAAUGAAUCUGCACUAGUCGAAGCAGAUAUGACAAUCUAAACCGAACAAAUACUUGCAUGAAACAAGAAAGACAAACAAUGUUGCACAAAGACGACUAACAAACCAACGUCGCACUAUGACGACAAAAUCACAAAAUAAAAAACAAAAUAGAUGUGAAAAUCACUUAUUACAAUUAAAAGGAAAGAAAAAAGCGAGUUAGAAGGGUGAUUUAGGGUCAAAAAUUGACUCUAAAUCACCUCUAUUUGAUAAAUAUGGGAGAAGAAACUACAGUUUUAGUGACGUCUCACAAGAAAGAAAGAGAAAAGAGAGUUUAUAGAACGAUAUAGGUAUCUCUAAGUAAAUUUGUCAAAAAAAAAAAAAGUGUCACUAAGUAAAACAUAGAUAAAAUAGAGAAUCAAUAUGGAAAUAUAUAAAAAAAAUGCAAACAAAUAGAAGACCGUAGAUAUGUUAAAUUAAUUUUUAGUUAUAAUUUAUUAAAUAAAUUUUUUAUUAAUUAAAUUUGUCAAAAAUAAAACCUUAUUAAUUUAAAUGACUAAAAAAUGAGUGAUAAUGUGUCAACAAAAUUCACUAAAAUCUCUGGCCAUCACCCCUUUCUUCUUCUUGUCUAUUGAAGAGGGAUGGUUUAGGGUCUAUUCUAAGUUCUAACAUAAAAUCAUUCAUCGGAAUUAUUUUUCCUUCUUUUCUAGUUGAAUAAAUGAUUUCCAUAUAUUUUUUAUUCUUCUUUUGUUUGUUUUUGUGAUUUCAUCGUCUUUACACGACUCUAUUUAUUUUAAUUUUUCGUCUUAAUGUGGUGUUUAUUUGAUCCAAAUAUCCACGAGAUCAUAUGGUUUACGUACUGAUUUAUAUUAUAUUACUUUUUUUGAAAUAAUUUACAUUAUAUUACUAAAAAAAUGAAGACGCAUUGGUGGCAUAUGAACUGGGACCGUCAUUGCUUUAUUAUCAUUGCUAUAUGUAGUUUUUAUUUCAUAUGCUUGGGCCUAUAUUAUAUGGUCAGACUGUAUUAUAUUUGGAUCUUCUUACAGGUAAGCUGAAUUUUAUAAAAUUUGAAUCAUCAAGAAGGUAACGUUUUCCAUAGGACAAACAUGAGUUACUAUAAUUUAGACAUUAUCAAUCCUUUGUUUUUUUCGGAUAAUUUUUUUAUAAAUUCUUCUUAUAUCACAUAUUAUAUUUUUUACAUUUCCCUCCCUCUCUACCUCCCUAUAAAUAGCUUGCCAAUUCCAUCGUUCCCUCAUACCAAGUUCAAUAAUCAAUAAUCAUCAUCCAAUAAUAAGAUGAAGAUUAUUCACAUAGUUUUUCUUUUCUCUUUUCUUUCAUUCACUACUUCCCAAGCUUCUGUCAAUGAUUUUUGUGUAGCAGAUUUAAAGGCUCCAGAUACCCCUUCAGGCUAUCACUGCAAACCCCUAGCAAAUAUCACAUCAGACGAUUUUGUCUUUCAUGGCUUCAAAGCUGGAAACACCAACAACUCUUUCAACGCUGCACUUACCUCCGCAUUCGUCACUGAUUUUCCAGGCCUUAAUGGACUAGGAAUCUCAGCAGCGCGGUUAGACAUAGCGGAAAAUGGUUCAAUUCCAAUGCAUACUCAUCCUGGUGCUACCGAAUUAUUGAUAAUAGUUCAAGGUGAAAUAACCGCUGGAUUUCUGACACCUACCGCAGUUUAUUCUAAGACGUUGAAACCGGGUGAUCUUAUGGUUUUUCCACAAGGGAUGUUGCAUUUUCAAAUUAACACUGGUAAGGGAAAAGCAACUGCUUUUCUUACUUUUAGUAGUGCUAACCCUGGUGCUCAAUUACUUGAUCUUCUUUUGUUUUCGAAUAAUUUACCUUCUCAAUUGGUGGCACAAACUACUUUCCUUGAUCUUGCACAAGUGCAGAAGCUAAAGGCACGUUUUGGUGGAAGAGGGUAGGGAUAUGAUAUUGUUUGGUCAUGAUCAUAACCCACUCUCCUUGUGUAAAUGUUUAUUCCAAUAAUCACCUAGUGGUGGAUUUGAUUGUGUGUCUGUGUUAUUUUAUUUUAUUCUAUGUUUUAGCUAUUCCAAAUGUUAUGAUAUAUGGUUACUUGUGAUAAUGAAGUAAUAAAUUGUGUGUGAUACAUUUCUUGGUUCCUCUUUCUAUCUCUCAACCUGUCUCCUAAUUUUUUUGUUGAAUUAUGGCAACAUUUAAAAUUGAAUUGAAGAUUGAAUGAGCACGACCUGGAGAUUAUGAUUUAAUUAGCUCAAUCACUUGAAUCACAAUUGAACUAAAUGAUUAAUCUAUAAAUAAAAAAAGUAAUUGCAAAAACAAAUCUUAUUAAAUUAUUACGAUUCAAUCGGUUCAACCUUAUUCAAAAUGACUUCGAUGCGACUAUGAUUUCUAACCCAUUUUAUUUUAGAUUUAACUAGUUGAACUAAUAAUUUAAUAGAAUAUGCAACUUAGACUUAUUUACCAUUUUUGGGUGUUAGAAGUUAGAAAAUUUUACAUGAUGUGGAUAACAUCACAAUACAAUUCAAAGUAGUGGGCUAUAAUUUAUGAGAAAUGAUAUUUGAACAAUAAUUUUUAACAACUUUUGUGACAACUUUAUCUCUCAUACUCACAUUAAUUUUUUACUCUCUCUCUAUUGCUUUGGUUUUUGUGUCACUAUCUCAUUUCUUUUGCAAAAUUUUGAUUGUCACAAAAGUUGUCACAUGUAUGGAUGUUCAUAUAACACAACUCAUAAUUUAUUCAUUAAAACCUUACUUAUAUAUCAACAAGCAAAACUAGGCGUAAGACGAUUGAGUCAGCCUCUACUUGGUAGUUGGUUCUAAUCUCAUUGCCAUUGCUUCGGUGCAUCAACCUCGAGAGUGUGGAAACGGUAAAUUGGUUUGCGAGUACUGAUUCGCGGUAUUUUAAUGAAUUUGUUUGCGCAAAAUCGUGAGCAAUUCAUAGCAAAGUGCGUACGUGACAGAAGUAUAAAACAAAUCAAACAAGUUUAAUUCAAAUUUCACAUAUUGUAUGUCAAACACAAUAAAUAUCUGACCAACUUGAUAGAAGAGCUCAUCUGCCAUGAACAUGCAGCAACCAUUAGUGCAAACUGUAAAAUUAGGUCAUAGAAAAUUCAAGGCUAAAAUAUGGUUUUAGUCCCUGCAAAUAUGUCUCGUUUUGGUUUUAGUCUCUGUAAAAAGAAAAUUUUGUUUUUGGUCCCUGCUAAAUAAUUUGUUUUUGAAAAUAGUCCCUAGCCCCACUUUUGUGAUGAUUUGCAUACGUGUUACAUUAUAACUGAACCAAUUUUGUAGUUUUUGGUCCCUGCAAAAUAUUUUGUUUUUAAAAAAGGUCCUUGAAUUUUUUUUUUGUUUUUGAAAUUUUUUGCAGGGACCAAAAACAAAAAAUUUUGUUUACAGGGACUAAAACCAAAACGAGGCAUAUUUGCAGGGGCUAAAACCAUAUUUUAGCCAAAAUUCAAAUGCAUAGUAGUGUGUACCACUACCAACCUGGAUGUUGUGCAGGGGCAGCUAAGAAGCUUAUAGUAAAAUGGUCAUAUAGAGAUUAAGGUUCUUGUAUAUGCAAAAACAAUGAUUAUAAAGAGUCAUAUAUUAUAUAUAGGCUUAAAUAAGUAAAAGGUCUCUGUAAGUUGGCGCAUUUUUGGUUUUAGUCCCUGUAAGUUUUUUUGUUGCGAGACAAACCCUGUAUUUACCAAACGUUUUGGAUCUAGUCCCUGCCGUCCAAUUCCGUGAAAAAAUGAUGACCUUGCUAACGGAGCAAUACGUGGCACUUCGUGAGUUGGCACUAGUUGAUGACUGGGGUUAAUAUAGGGACUAAAACCAAAAAUGCAAUUUAACAUAGGGACUAAUUUAAAAAAACGUAAUCAUCAAUUUUUAAAUUUUAAAAACCAGUCUUUCCUUCUUCUUCCUCUCUCUGUUCUUUCCUUCUUCUUCCUCUAUUUGUUAGUUCUUUAAUUGCUUGUGCCCAAAAACUCAAACCUCAUUUCCUUCAACGAUGUCUUCUCAUUCCAUUUCUCAUUCAUCAUCAAAUGAGUUGCCUAUAAGUGCCAAUUACUUCUUUAAGUUCUGCUUCAUUUGUUCCUCCUUGAGUCUCCAAAAGCAAAUCAGUGAUAAUUACUUCCAUUUGUUUCCCCUCGCGCACCUUAAUCUUAGCCCAUCCAACCAAGUUUGUGUCACCAAAAUCCUCCUUAUCACCAGGCCUUUUCCCAUUAAGAAGUUCCAUCAUUACAACACCAAAUGAAUAAACAUCACCCUUUGCAGUGCACCUGAAACUUUGGUAAUACUUUGGUGGAACAUAUCCAGGUGUUCCUGCUAGUGUGCUUACACUGAGAUGUGUAUCAAGUGCACUUAUUAGUCUUGCCAUUCCGAAAUCCAAGACUCUUGACUCCAUUUCAUUGUCAAGUAAUACAUUGCUUGACUUCAUGUCUUUGUGUAUGAUGUGAGGGAUGCAAUUAUGAUGCAGAAAACAAAGUCCUUUAGCAGCACCUCUUGCAAUCUUCUUCCUUUCUUCCCAUGUUAAAAUUCGUCGAUCACAUGUCUUUAUUCUUCUGUGGAGCAUCUCUUCUAGGCUUCCAUAUUCCAUGUAUUCAUAAACAAGUAGCCUCUCUUCUCCUACUUUGCAGUAUCCCAAUAAAGGGACAAGGUUUUUAUACUUGAUUUUUUCUAAGGUUUCCAUCUUAGCCAUGAAUUCUCUAUCACCUUGGCAACUCAGUCGAAUGAGCUUCUUUAUCGCGACACAUGUUCCGUCUUUGAGUGUGGCCUUAAACACUUCACCAAAACCACCACAACCAAUGAGGCUUGCUGCUGAGAAGCCAUUGGUUGCUUCAAUCAACUGUGAGAAUUUAAGCUUUCUCAAUUACCUCUGAAAUGUUGCAAUAUUAAUGCAUAAUGGCUCUUUCUCUUUAUCAAUUUUCCAUGUUGUAGCAGCAUGACAUGCGAAUUGGAGAUGAACAUCCUCAUAAUUUUUCUACAACCACAUAUUGACAACUCAUUUGAUGAUGAUUGACAAAUGGAAUGAGAAUACAUUGUUCCAUGAAAUGAGUUUUUGGUGUUAGGGCGCAAAGCUAUCGAAGGGUGGGAAUGGCAGAAAUGAAGAAGAGAGAAAUAACAUAGUGAGGAAGAAGGUGGAAAUAAUAAGUUUUAAAAUUCAAAUUUUGAUGAUUAUGUUUUUUAUUUUCAUCCCUAUGUAAAUUUGCAUUUUUGGUUUUAGUCUCUCUAAUAACCAAUUGCCAACUCAUCAUAUGCCACAUAUUAGUCCGUUAGCCAGCGAAGCGUUUUUUUGACGGAAACGGACGGCGGGGACGAAUGUCAAAAUGUUAAGUAAAUACAGGGGUUGUUUCGCAACAAAAAAAGAUACAGGAACUAAAACAAAAAAUGCGCGAACUUACAGGGACCUUUUUCUUAUUUAAGCCUUAUAUAUAUAUUGUUCAUCUUCAAAAUGUCACGACGACAACGUAAAUUAAUGCGGCACUGCAAAAAUAAUAUCACUAAACACAAACUGAAACAAAUUUCUAGGGAGAUAUUCCUGAUGGCAGUUGCAUCGUUCAAGACAGAAGUAAUUGUUCUUUAACUUAUUUUCUAAAUACGCAUACAAUUGUAAAACACAGUCAAAUUUUAUUGAGUGAAAUUAUGGUUGGAACGUGAUGGAGAUUUCCAUUCCUCCAAUUCUCUUCGUACACCUCUCUUGUUGUACCCAAUUUCUUCGAAGGCCUUUAGGGAUGGUGCUGUUCGUUCAACGGUGUUACUGCCAAUACAAAAGAUUAACAGUGUUCAAUAAAAUCCUAUAUGUUAGGAAACAAAGUGCUGAAGAAGAAAAAUAAGCACAAUCACAAUAUAAGAAUAUAAUGUUAGGAAACAUGGUAUCCAUGAAAAGAAGGAGAGAAAACUAAGAAACUCUUUCUAUUGAUGAAAAUGGAAUAUUACAAAAUGAGAAAAGUACCCUCUAAUGGGGUGGUUACAAGUUAUUUAUACUACUCUCUACUAGGACUAAUAUGCUACUAAUCUAUAUCUCUAAUAGUCCCCCUCAAGUUGGAAGGUGUUCAAAACACUUCCAACUUGAAAUGAGAAAAUACAAGGAAAGAUGCCAGAAAUACAUUGGCCAAGAACAUAGCAACAAUCAAAGGCUUAUCCAACAAGAGGAAACCACAACUCAAGGUGUAAUCACCUUGGAGGAAGAAGCAGCAAACCAACGCUUAACCACCAUCCGGUAGAAGCCAAUCAUCAACAAAGCCUUAAAAGGCACAAUGCUUAACCAUCAAGAGUUCUCAAUAACUCAAGACAGAAGCACAAGAAGAAGAAGAAAAUGACGCUUAACCAUCCUUGGACAGAAGCACAACGACGCUUAACCAUUCAUGACAGAAGCUUAUCAACAUAGCUUAACCAUCAUGAACAGAAGCACAAGACAAGAAGAGUAAGGAUAUCUAAAAUCAAUGAUGAUCUCCAAAAGAAAAAGUGCAAGGAAGGGCCAAAGUUUACAAUGGAAGGAGGUCAUAUGUUGAACAAACUGCACAUCAAAGGUACCAUGAAGCAACAAGACCAAGGUUCCAAAGUUAAAAAAGAGAUGCGCUCCAAUGCCGAGCCGAGACAAGAAAAACCAAAUGCAAGCCAAUAGAGAUGCAUAGCCAUGUGAGGUGUCUUCAAACCAUAGAAAACAAAUCCAUGUUGAUGCAUUCAAACCAUAGGCCAACAAAUCAAUACUUCCAACAAUGAAGCUUAAGAAAAUACCAACAUAGCCAAAACCAGAAAAAAAAAAAUGCAGCAGUAAUGCUGCACAAAAUAAAACCAAAAUGCAGCUAAGAGACAUCAAAAUGAACUCAAGAAGAUGCUUUAACGGUCUGCCCAAAAAUUCAUCAACGAUCCAGGAACAAUCCCAUGCUUCAGAUAUCAAACCAAGGCUUCCAAAAACGAUCCUAAGCCAUCAAGAAAUAAAUCCAUAGCCAAUGAACAAAAUGCAGUAGCAAUAUGAAGCACUGUACUGUGUUGGAAUAGCAUGCAACACUAACAAAAUGCCUAAUCAGCCUCACAAUUUCAUUUGUUCCUUUCACACACAAGAAUAUAGAGAAACCAUCUGAACAGCUUGGAGUGUACUAAAGGCUUCUUCAAUUACUAUUCAAAAAAUGCUUGACCAUAUCAGAUCCAACACCAUGAUAAGCAAUCAAAUGCCAAACAAAACUUAGCCCACCAGUAUGCAAUAUCUAUAAGACUACCAAGUGUGAUAGCAACACCAUAAAAGAAACAAAGAAGUAUGCCAAAACCAAUGAUAUCCAAAGAGAAUGUAGAACAAACAACCAAGCUGUAAUUGGAUCCCAAAGAAUGCAUCAAAAAAACUAUACGUGAAAGGAAGAUCCUUACAUAACACUGCAACAACAUAGCCAUACACAUAAGUCUGGGUCCGCCAAUCUUCAAUCAUAAUAUAAGAGUACCUUAACAUGAACUGCUCCAAAAAUGUAGUAGUGAUGAAGAGGUUCACAAGAAAAUGCACGCAUAGACCAAUAACGUCAUGCAGCAGUCAACAACAGCACCUCAAAGCAAGUCCAAUGCAAUGUUGGAUCAGAACAAAUUGCAGUGUUACCAACAACCAUCACCAUCAAACUGAACGUAAUAUGCAAUAAGGACCAAAAAACACCAAAAUAUCAAGGUAAUAGAAUCCAACUCUAUCUGCACCACAUGCACAAUUGUAUACAACCAGAGAAAAUGAACUAAUUGCAGCCUUGUCUAAAUAGCAGAACAUAGAACUUCAUCAAAAGAAUCAUGAACCAAGAAUCAAUAUGUUUGCAGUGAGGACUUGCUACAAACAUCUUGUGAGCACAAUAGUCAUAAACUGCAGUUACAAUAAAACUCGCUUAUGAGAAACCGAAUUCUCAAUACAAUACAAUAAUGAAACAGGGAAGAAGAUGAAAUAUCAACGACACAUAGAAUCAAUGCGAAAAAGACGACUCUGAGCCGAAUCGAAAAUUUUAAUGAAGAGGAAUCGCAAAAAAAAAUAAAAUUGAAUCACGGAUUCGAAUCGAAACUGGAAAUUGCGAUCGAGUAAGAAUUCGAUCAAGACUUUUGAAUCACGUGGGAAAUUGAACCAAAACUAACAGAACAAAGAAGAACGAACAAAGAAAAUUGAUCGAGAGAGAAAAGGAAAUCGCCAUUGUAACUGAAUCGCAAACCCUAAGAUUUGGGAAAAAGACACAAACGGAAUCACGAAGCAAUCGAUCGAACAAAAAGAUGUAAAAGAAUCGAAUGAAAUUGAGAUGCAGAUCAAAAGAGAAAUCGAUCGAACAAAUCAAUAACAGAAAAACGAUUCGAGUACAAGACAAAGGAAAAUGAAGAAAAUGAAGUGAUAAAAGAGAAAAAUCAGAACGAAGAAGAAAAGGAAAACAACACGAGAAAAAUGAACUUUUCUCGAGAAAAUGCAGCGGAAAAAUUGUUCAAGGUGGAUACCAAUCAUGCUCUGAUACCAUGUUAGGAAACAUGGUAUCCAUGGAAAGAAGGAGAGAAAACUAAGAAACUCUUUCUAUUGAUGAAAAUGGAAUAUUACAAAAUGAGAAAAGUACCCUCUAAUGGGGUGGUUACAAGUUAUUUAUACUACUCUCUACUAGGACUAAUAUGCUAAUAAUCUAUAUCUCUAAUAUAUAACGUGGAAACUUUAAAACUGGAUAAAAAACCACGACCGUUGUCUAAACCGACAACCAGAAAAUGAUUACUAUGGGAUUUUUUUUACAACACAUAGACUUCUCUCACUCUCACCCCAAUGCUCCAGUACAAUCAUACUCUCACAAAGCAAAUAUUUAAACUAAGUCAGAUAUAAGCUUAAAGUGCUACUGACUGGUGCAUCUACAAACAAAGAACCUAGGUCCAAUAUAUAGUCAUGGUCCUCCCAUUGCUUCACCACACUAAGCGAUGUAGGACUUUUCCAAUAGCAAAUAUUUUUUAACCUCCUUAUUUAUUUAAGAAACUUGACAAUCAAACCCAACAAUCUCCACCUUGAUUGUACGAGUUUCAUCUUUCGCUUCCAUUGUUUAUACUGACAAUCAUACUCCACCAUAAAGAGUAUACUUCACUUGAAACUAGACCUUUCCAAGAAUUUCUCCACGUCAAAACCUUGCUGAAAGAUUACGGUGCAACUCCCAUGUUGGAUUUCAGGAAGUUCUUCAGCCAUCGACACAUCUCACCACACACCUUGCAUUAAUUAAUUUCUUAAACAAUUUAUAAUUAAUUUGUAUCUCGUUUAAAGACUACAAAAUUUCAUUGUGAAGGUUCUUAUCAUGUUCUAGUCAUGCCUACAAAAUUAGGGAACUAAAUUUGACUUGUGAGUAUACGCUUACGCGGAACAAAAUUUCAAUUUUGCAUGUUUUGAUUGAAAAAUCAAAAUAAAUUUAAACGACUUCGAAAUGCAAUGAAACUUUACAGAUCCGUUUUAUGUAUUUUUUUAUAGAUGUCUAUGCAAAUAAUGAGCUCAAAAUUCGAUUUAUAGGUCGAGAUUUCCAUUGUUUUGUUUUUUGAGCUUUUGACACUUUAAAAAUUCAUAAUUAAUUUGUCGUAUGUCGAAAAUUUAUAUAUUUUUAGUGUAAAGCCAUAUUUUAACAUUCUUAACUCGCCUCUAACAAAUCAUGAAAAAAAUUGAAUCUCUCGGUUUCUUUUUUGGACUUCGCAUAUAUUACAGAGUUAUAAAUAAUAAAAAUCUUGAGUUACAUGGUAAGAAUACAUGUUAUUUAAUUACAGGGCCAAUUUUCAGACUUCACGUAUAUUAUAUGAUCAAUUUCAAUUAAUAAUCUUAUUUUAAAUUGUACUUUUGUUGACUAAAUGAUAAAACCUAUUUUAUUUCGAUUUUUUUAAUUAAAAUUAAAAUUAAAAAAAAAGUUUCAAUUUAUGAUUGUUGAUAUAUUAUGUCGCAUGUGAAUUUGCGAUAAAUUUUUUGCCCAAUCUCCAUAAAUUUCCAGACUCCGCCACUGUAUAGUACCUACUCAAAGAAUACUUGUUAUCAUCCCUAAUUGUGCGCUAACACUCCUCAAUUCAAAAUGACAUAAUAGCAUGCUUGUUGAGGAAAAAUUAUUGCCUUUAUUAUAACAAAAUUAGUUAAUUUUUUUUUUGAGGAAAACUGAAUUAGUUAGUGAAAAUUAAGUAAAAGACUAUGAAGAUAAUUUAAAUUUAUACAAAUCGUCACUUGACCAAUCUUAUUGCAAUAAAUUAAUAAAACGUCAUUUCAAAAAGAUUUGUGGCUGAUCCUUAAAAAAUAAAAUCAUUCCGUGACAAUUUUUUUUAUUCUUUUUCAAAUCUUUACUCUAAAUCUUCAUCUGUCACACACAACUAACUCAAACAUCCAUAGACGUGCAAUCAAUCUCAAUGAAAGAUUAGACUACAGGGUCUUUUAUUAAUACUCUUUGUGUACACAAAUUGAAUUCACUUAAAUGUUGUUUAAAAUUCUAAUUUUAGAGUUUACAUGAAAUGAAAGAACAUAUGUUGACUCACUUAUUGUAACCUUACAUGAAAUAAGACAACAUAUAUGUAUGCAUUGUUUUAAAAACAUUGAAGAUAAACUGAAUUUACGUAGGGUAUAUAAACUGAGUUUGCAAAUUAUACAACUCUACGUAAAUUAAGAUAGAGAAUGGAGAGAGAAAAAGGAAGAUAGAGAAUAAGAAGAUAAUGUGAGUAUGAGAGAGAAAGUUGUUAAAAUGUUUUUUUAAAGAAAAAAGUUGUUAAAAUGUUGUCACAAAGUGGAUGUACAAAUAUCAUUUCUCUAUAUAAAAUAUACAAAAUAUAUGGAGGAUUAUUGAUAAAAAAAAACAUGGGGAUUAAUUAUUGCUAAGAAUAAAUUAUUUUGAAAUACUCCCCUAUUUUUUUUUUUAAAUUCUCUUGACCAAAUUUUUCUUUUUUUAAAAUUCAUUGAAAUAAACCAAAAACAAAUACUCCAUUUCUAACAAAAAUAUAGACAUAAAGAGGAUCAAAGCGUCAAAUAGUCUUGCCCUCAAUUUUUUUUACUUUUAGAACAUCUUUUGUUUAUGUUUUCGUUACAAAGAGUAUGCAAAAUUAGACUGACUUAUUUUAAUUCAUUUAUAUAUAAUAUAUGGUAGUAUUUGUGAUAAUGUUUGUUAGAACCUAUGAAAAUAAUUUAUAACAUCUAAGUUUAGUUCCAUAAUUUUACAGAAUAGUUUAUAGAAACAACUUAAAAAUAUAUUAAAUAUAAAUGUUUUUUUUUUGUUUUAAAAAAGUAUAUAGAAAUAUUUAUAUUGAUAAGCUUAUAAUAUAUAUAUAUUAUGAAGUAAAAACAUCCUUUGUAUAUUAUAAACGAUUAAUUAUUUUGUUUAUUCAAAUAUGACCUCCUAUAUUAUUUUUUUUUUUGUUGGAAAGACGUCUAAAAACUAAUCAUUUUUGGUGGUGGUCGGGGUUCAACCCAGUAUAUAUUAUGCAUUGUUCCUACCCACUGAGCUAAGCUCAUGAUGACCCAAAAACCAAUCAUUGAUACACGAUAUAUAUAUAUAUAUAUAUAUAUAUAUAUAUAUAUAUUGACAAAAAUAAAUGAUAUGCAUUCAUUCAAAUUGAUAGAGUUCAUCGAUACAAUACUAAUUCGAUAAAAAGAAAAAGAAUGAAUUUGCGAACAAACUCAUAACAUCCAUGUUAAUAUCAUAAAACAACAAAGUACAAAAACAUACUUAUAUGACUAUAUUCAAGUAUCCGGAAUACCCAUGUCUCUAGAUCUGCAACGUGGACGACGCAAAGUCAUAGAUUGAAUCUGCACUGGUCGAAGCGGAUAUGACAAUCUAAACCGAACAAAUACCUGCAUGAAACAAAUAAGACAAACAAUGUUGCACAAAGACGACGAACAAACCAAUGUCGCACUAUGACGGCGAAAUCACAAAAUAAAAAACAAAAUAGAUGUGAAAAUCACUUAUUUCAAUUAAAAGAAAAUAAAAAAGCGAGUUAGAUGGGUGAUUUAGGGUUAAAAACUGACUCUAAAACACCUCUACUUGAUAGAUGAGGGAGAAGAAACUAGAGUUUUGGUGACGGCUCACAAGAAAGAAAAAGAAAAGAGAAAUUUAUAUAACGAUAUAGGUAUCUCUAAGUAAAUUUGUUAAAAAAAAAAAGUGUCACUAAGUAAAACAUAGAUAAAAUAAAGAGAACCAAUAUGGAAAUAUAUAAAAAAAUGCAAACAAAUAGAAGACUAUAGAUAUGUUAAAUAAAUUUUUAGUUAUAAUUUAUUAAAUAAAAAUUUUAUUAAUUUAAUUUGUCAAAAAUAAAACCUUAUUAAUUUAAAUUGACUAAAAAAUGAGUGAUAAUGUGUCAACAAAAUUCACUAGAAUCCCUAGUCGUCACCCAUUUCUUCUUCUUGUCUAUUGAAGAUGAAUGAUUUAGGGUCAAUUCUAACCUAAAAUCACCCAUCCGAAUUGUUUUUCUUUCUUUUCUAGUUGAAUAAGUGAUUUCCAUAUAUUUUUUUAUUGUUCUUUCGUUUGUUUUUGUGAUUUCAUCGUCUUUGCAUGACUCUGUUUAUUUUGAUUUUCCAUCUUAAUGUCGUGUUUAUUUGAUUGAGGUUGAAAUAUUAGCUUUGAUUAGGUGCAAAUCCGAAGACAUGAGUAUUCCAGAGAUUUGAAUAUAGUCAGGUUUGUAGGCAUAAAUACUUUGCAGUUUUAUGUUAACAUGAAUGUUGUGAUUUAUCCUUUUUGUUUUUAGAGACUUUAAAUUUAUAUUAUAUCGAUAUACUCUAUAAAUUAAAAUGAAUGAAUAUCGUUUAUUUUUUUUAAAAAAAGUCAGCAGAAUUAAAAUACUAUGAUUUGCUAAUUUGCUCAUUCACCUAUAUUGUUUAGUUGGUUUAUAUUAGUAAGUUGGAAUAUAUUAUUAUCCAUGAGAUCAUAUGGUUUACGUACUGAUUUAUCUUAUAUUAUUUUUUUUGAAAUAAUUUACAUUAUAUUACUAAAAAAAUGGAAUCGUAUUGGUGGCAUAUGAACUGGGACCGUCAUUGCUGUAUUAUCAUUGCUAUAUGUAGUUUUUAUUUCAUAUGCUUGGGCCUAUAUUAUAUGGUCAGACUGUAUUAUAUUUGGAUCUUCUUACAGGUAAGCUGACUUUUAUAAAAUUUGAAUCAUUAAGAAGGUAACGUUUUCCAUAGGACAAACAUGAGUUACUAUAAUUAGACAUUAUCAUUCCUUUGUUUUUUUCGGAUAAUUUUUUAUAAAUUCUUCUUAUUUCACAUAUAAUAUUUUUUACAUUUCCCUCCCUCUCUACCUCCCUAUAAAUAGCUUGCCAAUUCCAUCGUUUCCUCAUACCAAGUUCAAUAAUCAAAAAUCAUCAUCCAAUAAUAAGAUGAAGAUUAUUCACAUAGUUUUUCUUUUCUUUUUUCUUUCAUUCACUACUUCCCAAGCUUCUGUCAAUGAUUUUUGUGUAGCAGAUUUAAAGGCUCCAGAUACCCCUUCAGGCUAUCAGUGCAAACCCCUAGCAAAUAUCACAUCAGACGAUUUUGUCUUUCAUGGCUUCGUAGCCGGAAACACCAACAACUCUUUCAACGCUGCACUUACCUCCGCAUUCGUCACUGAAUUUCCAGGCCUUAACGGACUAGGAAUCUCAGCAGCGCGGUUAGACAUAGCCGAAAAUGGUUCAAUUCCAAUGCAUACUCAUCCCGGUGCUACCGAAUUAUUGAUAAUAGUUCAAGGUGAAAUAACCGCUGGAUUUCUGACACCUACCUCAGUUUAUUCUAAGACGUUGAAACCGGGUGAUCUUAUGGUUUUUCCACAGGGGAUGUUGCAUUUUCAAAUUAACACUGGUAAGGGAAAAGCUACUGCUUUUCUUACAUUUAGUAGUGCUAACCCUGGUGCUCAAUUACUUGAUCUUCUUUUGUUUUCGAAUAAUUUACCUUCUGAAUUGGUGGCACAAACUACUUUCCUUGAUCUUGCACAAGUGCAGAAGCUAAAGGCACGUUUUGGUGGAAGAGGGUAGGGAUAUGAUAUUGUUUGGUCAUGAUCAUAACCCACUCUCCUUGUGUAAAUGUUUAUUCCAAUAAUCACCUAGUGGUGGAUUUGAUUGUGUGUGUGUGUUAUUUUAUUUUAUUCUAUGUUUUAGCUAUUCCAAAUGUUAUGAUAUAUGGUUACUUGUGAUAAUGAAGUAAUAAAUUGUGUGUGAUACAUUUCUUGGUUC
rnacentral:lncRNA from 1 species